AGGAUUUGAUUUGAUCGGUUGGUUGAUGUAAUCAGUUUAAAUUUGUAUUGCUUAUAUAUAUAUGCUGAAAUAAAAAAGAAAAAACACUUCUUCUUCUCUCCAGCAAAAACACGUCUUUGCAAAACAGUAAAACAGAGGCAGCUGCAUAAGCUUGCUCUGUUUUGCUGCCCUCUCUCUCUUCAACCUUCUCUCUCUAAGUUUGUUCAAUCACAGAGCUUCCCUUGAAGCUUAUUUUCGCUUUCGAUCAACACCACCCAUAAUGAGUAUACAUAAC
rnacentral:lncRNA from 1 species